GCCCGGGUGGCGGAAUUGGCAGACGCGGGGGACUCAAAAUCCUCUGGCCGCGAGGUCGUGCGGGUUCAAGUCCCGCCCCGGGCA
rnacentral:tRNA from 1 species